rnacentral:rRNA from 1 species
UGAGGAAUAUUGGGCAAUGCCCGCAAGGGUGACCCAGCAACGCCGCGUGGAGGAUGAAUGUCGUAAGAUUGUAAACUCCUGUUAGAGGGGAAGAAUAGUACCGGUUGGACCGGUAUAUGACUGUACCCUCAGAGAAAGCCCCGGCUAACUACGUGCCAGCAGCCGCGGUAAUACGUAGGGGGCACGCGUUGUCCGGAUUUACUGGGUGUAAAGGGCGCGCAGGCGGAAUGGAAAGUCAGUGGUGAAAUCCUACAGCUUAACUGUAGAACUGCCUUUGAUACUUUCAUUCUUGAGUUCGGGAGAGAGAGACUGAAGUCCAGGUGUAGUGGUGAAAUACGUAGAUAUCUGGAAGAACACCAGUUGCGAAGGCGGUCUCUUGGUCCGAUACUGACGCGGAGGCGCGGAAGCGUGGGGAGCAAACA